ensembl:lncRNA
CCCUUUCCAGCACUUGUUUGUAGACUGUUUCAGCGAUGGCCGUCCUGAGCUUGUGAGGUGCCUCACUGUAGUUUGGUUUGCAUUCCUCUGACAGCUAGUGGCACUGGACAUCUUUUCACGUGCCCCUGGGGCAUCUGUCUGUCUUCUUUGGGGAAAUGUCUAUUUACGUCUUGGGUCCAUUCUUUGAUUGGGCUGUUUACUGCAGGGAGAUCACCUGCUCAUUUUAGUGAUGGAGAAGCUGAAGCUGAGAAAUCUGCCCAAACCUCAGCAGCGAGAGGGACGGGGCUGCCGUGGGAACGGGCCUCUCAGGUCCCACCCCUGUGUUCACCACCCCGUGAGCUGUCUGCUGCGAAGACGCACAUCCAGGAGCACACACAGAAGGACCUGCAAGGUUCUUUUCCCAUAUGCAUUAUGGCAGAGUAUUGGGUAGAAUUCUGUGCUAUACAGCACGCCCGUCUUAGGCAUCUGUUUUGUAUGUAGCAGUAUACAUGGUGGGCUUCCCAGGUAGUGCGAGUGGUAAAGAACCUGCCUGCCAACGCAGGAGAUGCAGCUUUGACCCCUGAGUCAGAGAGGUCUCCUGGAGGCAGGAAACUACAACUUGCCCCGGUGCGCUUGCCUGGAGGAUCCCAUGAAGAGAGGAGCCUGGCAGUCCAGAGGGCUGCAGAGCCGGACACGACUGAAACGACUUAGCACGGCAAAGCGCAGGACGGCUCAGUAUGUAUCUCAAUCUCAAUCGUCUGAUUUAUCGUGUCCCCCGACUCUUCCCUUUUGGUCACCGUGCAUUUGAUUUUGAGACCUGUGAGUCUAUUUCAGUUUUGUAAAUAAGUUCAUCUGUGUCAUUUUUUAUUAGAGUCCACAAGUGAUAUCUUAUGAUGUUUGUCUUUCUCUGUCUGACUUACUCUUGAUGAAAGUUUAUAUGUGGUGAAAGUGAAGUCGCUCAGUCGUGUCUGACUCUUUGUGACCCCGUGGACUGUAUUGGUGUCAAGACACCCAAUUUAUUCAUUUGAGGAUUUUGUCUUUGUUCUUGAAAGAUAGUUUUUCCAGGUAUACAAUCUUAGGGACAAUUAUUUUCGUUAUAGGACAAUUAUUUGUCCCUUUGAAAACAUUAUUCCACUGUCUUCUGGCUAUAGUUGUUAAUACUGAAAAGUCAGCUGUCCAAGCAUCCAUGUUUCUUGGUUAACCAUCUGUUGUUUCCCCUCUGACUGUAUUUUCUCUUUGACGAUGUUAUUCUGCAGGUGCAUUAUAUUAUACAUGCAUGUGAAUUUAAACUUCGAUCUUUCUUUUCGUUUACUGUGUUACACGUAUUACAAUACAUAUGAUUCAAGUAUUUCAUCAAUUGUAAAAAAUUCUCCGCUGUUAUCUUUGCAGCUAAGCGUCUCUCCCAUUAUGAGUGUUCUCCGGCUGCUGUUAACAAAUGGCCACAAACUUGGUGACUUAAAACCACAGACAUUUAUUCUUUCACAGUUCUGGAGACCGAAAGUCCUAACUAAUAUGGCUGGGCUGAAACCAAGGUGUCAGUGGAGCCGUGCUUUCUCGAGGCUGAAGGGGGAAUGCCUUCCUUGUCUCUCACAGGGCCUGGUGGCCGCCACCCUCUUGGCUUGUAGCAGCAUCAGUCCAGGCUUGAAGGGCGGUGUCCUCAAACCUCUCUCUGUUUUGUCUCCCUGUAGACUUCUCUGUGUGUUGUCAAAUCUCCUGCUCAUAAGAGUACAAGCGAUAGCAUUUAGGGGCUCAGGAUAAUCUAUGCUAAUCUCCCUGUUCUCCGACUCUUUCUUGCAUCUGCAAAGAUUCCUCCCCCCUUCGCCACUUUUCAUAUAUGGUAACGUUUACAAGUUCCAGGCAUUAGGACACGGGUAUCUUUUGCAGGGCUGUUUUCAGCCUUCUUCACUGAACUCCAAAGAAGUGUGUGUCACAGCCUCUCAUUUGAUCCUCCAUGUCUUUAGUUUUUUUCCUGUAGUUUAUAAUCUUAUCUCUCUGUUCCACAUUCUAGAUAAGUUUCUUCAAAGAUAUCUUCAGUUUUCCCAAUUAUCUGUUCACCUCUAUAUGGUCUGCUAUUUCAUCCCGCCAUUGAUUUUUAAAUUUCACUUGAUAUGUUUUUCAAUCCUAGAAGUUUUGUUUGGUUCUUUUUCAAAUGUCCAUGGUCAUUUUCAUUAUUAUUAUUAUUUUUUAGGCGACAUGGUGGAGGCGGCCGGUGUUGGAUGAACCCAGAUUUGGGACGAGCAAAGAAAGCUGCACCUUUGCCUCCUCCGAGCCAAAAGCCGAAAGCCUUGGUAUUUUUUAUAAUCUCCCGCUCCGUGUUCAGUUUGAUUCUUUGAAUUGAUUCAGUUCUUUAAACUGAAUGUGGCUAGAGAAACAUCCAAAACUCUUUUGAGACAUUGUACCGUGAAAAUGAUCAGAGAAAUGGGCCCAUUGCUGGAGGGGAUGCAGGGUCAAAAAAAAAAAAAAAAAACUGUUGAGAAAUUACUUUACGGUGAGAUAGUGAUAUGUAUGGUGAUGAGAAUGACCCAGCAGACAGGGGCCAGCUGACAGGGCGAUGUCCUUGAAUAGGGGAGGACAGACAGCUCCCUUGCACAGAUGGAGGAAAGGGACUCAGGUGCAAGCUGGAGAGUUCACUUAACACCACGGUGGGAGUGCGGAGCAGAGCCACCUAGACUGGAAUGAAGUGAUGGACGGAUGUGAGCCAUCCCUUCUGGUUGCUUCUGCUUCCUUAGCGUAUAGGAAGGAAGGCUCUUAGCUGAGGAGGAGGACGAGGCAGAGGCGUCUGGGCUUCGAGAGAGAGGAGGUGUGAAAUGCUCUUCUAGGAGAGCAGGAGAGUGAACGGGCUGGGAAGCGGGAUGGGCCGGCAGCCACAGAAUUCCGCGUGUGAGUCGUGGGCUGGACUUGAUGGCACCGAUCACCUAAAGCACAGACUUGACCAAGUCCAUCCCCAUCUUCAAACCCUUAUUCACUCCCACUGCUCUGAAUUCCUCUGUAUGGCAAGGCCCUCCGUGACCCCAGCUUUACCAGAUCCCAGGUGCGAACUUCACACCAGCACCCCGAGCUGCUCGCAGUUGAGCGGAUUUCGCGCCUCCCCGCCACGGCUCUUGCUGCUCCUGCGUCCCGGCGCGCCCUGCCUGCCUCUGCCCUCCGACGGGGAGUCUGUCUGUGUUCCCCUCUGCCUCCUGGCCCUCACCCCGCAAUUCCUCGCACAGACUUUCUCAUCUGUUACGGCUCCUGUAAAACGUCACUGGCGGCACUUCCCUGGUGGUCCAGGGGUUAAGAAUCUGCCUGUCAGUGCAGGGGAUCUGGGUUCAGUCCCUGCUCUGGGAAGAUCCUACGCGCUGUGGGGCAGCUAAGCCCAUGUGCCCCACCUGCUAAGCCCGUGCACCAUAGAGCCUCUGCCCCACAACAGGAGAAGCCCGUCACGGGGAGCUUUUGCAGGGCGAUGAGAGAGUACAGCCCCUGCUCACCAGGACCAGACAAAAGCCCCCGAGUGGCAGUGAAGACCCAGCACAGCCUAAACAAACUGAGAAAGCAAAGCCGCCACUGGCUCUCAACUGUUUACGAUUGUGCCUCAUCCGCCCUAUCAAGGGCACAGACCACAUCCCGUCUUUUCUGGGCCCUGCCGUCCUGCUCUGAGCAGGUGCACACACGCUGUCUGCUGAGAGGACUGAUUGAGGGGGCUUCUGGAGGAGAGCUGGGUCAGGCUGGCAGGGCUGGGAGACCGCGGAGAAAAAGCCAGAACAGGGGCCAGGAAGCUGAGCCAAGCCCUGAGGUCAGGAGACAGCGGGCUGGGCUCCCAAAUGCAGGGCGGAGAGGGAGGCGGGUGGAGAGGCUUCGGGAGCCAGGGGAGAGCGUGGGGUGCAGCCGCGAGGUCCGGGACACGUGUCCUCCAACGCUGAGGACCUGCGAGAAUGACGCUGCUGUCACCUGGUCCUGGUGCUGCGGAGGGGCGCAGGCUGCUGGGGAGGGGCCAAGCGCUUUUCUUUCUGGGCAUCACAGACUUCUAAAGGUAGAGAGAUGUCCCCCAGUCCCCCUUCAGUCCCCCGGUUCCAAAGAGCCAUUCAAGUCCUAACAAGCUCCAAACAUGCCCACAGGGAAUAAGGGAAUGGGGAUCUGCAGGUGGCCCGCAGUGGUGCCAAGGGCAGCACUUAGGGGUCAGGCUCCUGGUCCCCCCACAAGCUGUGGUGCUUUGGGCUAGCUGCUCUGCCUCAUUGAGCCUCAGUCCUUUAAUCUGUAAAAGGGGACUGAUGAAGAAGACACAUAACCCAGUUAAAAAGUGGGCAAAGGAAUAUGAAUAGAUACACGUCCAAAGAAGAUAGACAGAUGGCCAGUAAGCAAACGAAAAGCGGCUCUACACCCUUAGUCGUUAGGGAAAUGCAGGUCACAACCACGGUGAGACACGACUCAGCCCACUAGACAAUAACAAGUGUCAGCAGGGGUGGGCAGAGAUGGAACCUGCAUGCAUGGUGGUGGGAAUGUGAGAUGGUGCAGUUGCUUUGGAAAAGCAAUUUCUCAAAAUAGUGAACACAGAGUUAGCCUAAGACCUAGUGAUUCCACCCUUAGUUAUCCACUUCAGAAAAACGAAAACUUGUACCCACCCAAAGCUCACACGUAAAUUUUCAUAGCAGUGUUAUUCAUGAUGGCCCCGAAUGGAAACAAUUCAAAUGUCCCUCAUCUGGUGGAUGGAGAAACAAAGCCUGAUGUUUCCAUUCCAUAGAAUACAAAAAUGAUCGAAAUAUUGAAACCGCUACAAAAUGGAUGAACUCAAAAGCAUGCUAAAUGAAAGAAGCUAGCCUCAAACGACUGCAUGCUGUAGGAUUCCAUCUAUGUGAAAUGUCCUAAUAGACAAAUCUAUACAGAUGUAAAAUAGCUUCAAGAAUGCCUGGGGCUGGUGGGGGUGCUGGCGGUAGGGACUGGAGAGUGGCUCUAAAUGGACAACAUUCUAAUGUUGGAUUGUGGUGAUGGUGGCCCGACUCCGUAAAAUAUAAUAGAGCACAUAGAAUUACUCCCUGUGGGUGAAUCUUGUGGUAUGCAAAUUACGUCUCAGUUCAGUUCAGUUGUUCAGUUGUGGCCGACUCUUUGAGACCCCAUGGACUGCAGCACGCCAGGCCUCCCUGUCCAUCACCAACUCCCGGAGUUUACUCAAACUCAUGUCCAUUGAGUCGGUGAUGCCAUCCAACCAUCUCAUCCUCUGUCCUCCCCUUCUCCUCCCACCUUCAAUCUUUCCCAGCAUCAGGGUCUUUUCUAAUGAGUCAGUUCUUCGCAUGAGGUGGCCAAAGUAU